CUUCCUCUUUUUUUGACGUGAAUGGCAGGACACGCUCCCUUCCUCUCUCGUCGCCUCCAGUAGCUUCCUGUUACCUCCACCUUCUAAUUGGCGCUGAUUCAAGGUGGAAGACAUAGCUCUGACGGGAGGGCAGGAGCUGCAAUGGCGGAGAUGGGGGAGAGAUUUUUUGCGCCAGAUGCGGAGAUGCAGAUUGUUGGCUGAGGAGCUGCUGCGUCCACGGGCUGGAACCGGCAUGGCAGCAUGCUGGAACCGGCAAGGAGGCGUGCUGCCACGGUGAUCACGCGAUGCUGGAACCGGCAUGGCAGCAUGCUGGAACUGGCAAGGAGGCCUGCUGCCAUGGUGGUUGUGCGAUGCUGGAACCAGUAGGCCGAUUUGCUGGAACCGGCACCCAAUUUGUGGCGUACGCUGACCUACUACAAUGGCGGACAUGACGAAAGCUGGAACCAGCAGGCCUAUUUGCUGGAACCGGCUGUCGGUUUUGUUGCAUACGGCGGAGUACGCGUGCAUGACGGAAGCUGGAACCAGCAACAGUCAUGUUGCGACGGCCGCGGCGACGAGCCACCAUUGCUGGAACCAUCAAUUUUUUUGCUGGAAGCAGCGAUUUAUUUUGCUACUACUCGGUGACGACGAUUCAUGACUUUGCUGGAAACGGCAAGUAUUUUUGCUGGAAGCAUUUUCGUUUUUUGUUGGAAGCAUGUUAUUUUGCUUUUCUGGAUCCUUUUCAUUGUUCUUGUGCCAUGCCAUUUUUUGUGUUUUUGCUGGAACCAUCAUUUUGUUUUGCUGGAACUAUGAUUUUAUUUUGCUGGAAGCAAUGGUAACAAAUAUUGCGAUGAUUUGGAACCGCCGAUGUGGCCGCCCGACGACAGAUGAUGGGCACCGGCGGCUGCCCGUCCAUGGGGAGCGGCAUCAGAUGGGGGGCACACACUAGCCACCUCGUGUGCAAGGAUAGGGGAGUCCAGCGACGGCGAGCGUUCUGUGUGGGGGAGGCGCUGGUGUGCGUGCGAAGGUUAGGGGAUAAAAAGAUCGGACGACUGUGGGCUGUUAAAUCAAACGGUAGGGGGUGGACCGGCCGAAAGUUUCGGCCGGCGCACCGGCGCCUAGCACCCGCCUUAGAUCUUUAUGAUAUUAUAUAGAAAAUCACUGAAUUGGUUUUGGCCAUCUCCACACGAUCUCAUCACAAAAGAUGAAGAGUUUCCUUCUUUCUCUCUCCCAGUACAUCUCGCACAAUGGCACAACCCUAAUAGCACGCAAACACCGAGCCACGCUGAUGCCGCCUAUGCUUUCCGUUGGCCGUGAACUGAUUAAUACAUAAGCUAGCUUUGGAGGAGGCUGCUAGAUUGAUUCCAAUGGAGGUUAGCUACAACUAUCUCUACGGAUGUUACCUAGCUACAACAGGCCGAUGUAUUCUAGCUGGUUGGAUAACAGACGCGGCGUUGUUUCAUCAAAUCAUCGAUCAGUGGAGCAAAUCUACUGCUGGCCGGUCGACGUAUUCUCGACGGAUGAAGAACGCACAGGAGACCAGGGAAGGCAAGGCGACUAUGUUUUUGAUAAGGACGCGGAUGGCCAUCCGGUCCCAGUGCUUCUCUGAUGCGGUGCUAGAGUCUCCCCAUGCACUGGUCGGAAGCUGCGCCGUCGCCAUAGCAAUCAAUGUCAUCUGUCCAGCAGGAUCUUCGUAGGUGAACUAGGUUGGAGUCAAAUCUAUGGCUGACGGCAGAAUGGUUCAUCGGCUCAUCCACACAGACCUGGGGACGGUCACAUCUAUGGCACCACGCUGGAGAUCCACAUCACGAUGCCAUUGCCCACGCAUGCUGAACUAAUCGGGGAUGGGGCCUGAGAGGAGCAAUGGGCCCUCGCAGGAGCACAACACAACAAGGCCAUUGGGUACAAUCAGGAUUCCGGCGCCUUUGAUCAGAAGAUUAACAUAAUUUUCUUUGUCUUGCUAAGUGCAUCAGGAUCGUAUCAAGAUUCAUUCGAAAUCAGUUACUAGCAAACAGAGAAGCACUACUCUUCUAGGAAAUUAUCUACGCGGGUUCUUUGCCCCUAUGGUCUCACAAGAUUUUUGGUAAAUUUACAGCUAGCCAUGAAAGCAAUUGGUUCCUUGCAUCCUCCAUUUGACAGGUAGAACAUCUUUUGACUGCUCACCCGUACUUCUGUAUAGUAUAGCAUACAAUCUUUAGAUUUGUAUGUCUUUAAUUAAUAGUUCAGUUUUAUUGGUAUAUAGGAUAAUAAAUCGCUGUUAUGAUAUAGUAUAUGUUGCUUCUUACAUGCAAAUCUAAUUUUUUUGCUCCGCUAGAUAGUAAUUGGUCAAUGUAUUGUUCAGUUUGCGUUUUUAUGAAUUUGAUAAAAUUCAGUUGUAAGUUCUAAUUGGUAAGAUGCUAAAGUUUUCCUGCACUUCAUCCCUUUAAACGUAUAUAACAAUUAUAAGGAGGCCUAUAGCCUAUUAUCAGCCACGCGAGUGUCCCUUCCCUGACGUCUAUAUGCAGAUCUACGCUUCAUUGUACAUCCUGUUCUCUUCAACUCAACCCUCCACUGGUGUUUAUCAGGAGGCUGCAAACAUAUGUGAAAAUCGUUUGCUGGAGUAGUUUUUCUCAUAAGGCGCAGGCCGAUCCUGUAGCGUCGGGUCAUUAUGAUGCAUGCAACGAUGUGGUGUCCAAAGGUACGUUGUUGCCCUCCUAAAGAUCCGGUGCACUUGCUCACAAUAUCCAUGACAACGGAGGCUACUCUAUGUUCUCAUGACUAAUACUGCCUGCUUUGUAAUAUUUCGAACAUAUGUUUGUUUACGUGCUUGAUAGUGGAUCUUAAUUAAUCCUGGCCUUAGUUUUGCCAAAAUACUUUUAUCACCUUACAAUAUGCCAUGCUUAUCCUAGCAUCCGUGCCAUUUGUUUAACCCUUCAGCUGAGAAAGAUAGGGCAUAAGUUUUAGUGGUGUAUCUAUAUCCGAUUGUUUACUUGGUACCCAAUUUUUUAGUCAAAUGGUUAAUAAACAGAUAAUUUGUACUCACGCAAUUCGUGGUAAUAUGAGUGUGACCCGUGGAUGUUACAUAUGCACACCUCCACGAGGCUAACUGUUUUAGAUUAAAUUCGGUUAAGUUUUUUUUCCAAUCAUUUUUACUACUUCAACAGAAAAACAAUGAUGUGAUGGUCAACCAAGAUUCCCUGUUUAAGUAGACAACUUACGUUUCAUAUCAGUCCAUGGUUUACCUUUCGCCAUAUUUUACCAUACUGAUCUAAUUUUGUGGAAGUUUCAUUAAUUGAGAACUAACAACUCUAAGCAUAUUAUCUGUACUGUAUUUUUAAUUUCACUUGAGCGAUUUUUAGUGUUAAUUAUUUUUUCCAACCUUAAGUAUCUUAGAUUGAAUUCAUGGUCUUCGGUAAUUUGGUUUAUGUUGGAUCCAAGUGAUAAUGUUUUCAUAUUGUGCAUAGUCAUCUAAUUUUGUGAGAUUUGAAUACUACAAAUAGAUCAAUAUCUUAUGGUCUUUCCUACAGAAGCUUCAUUAUUCUCUAACAAUUAACAACAAAGUAUCUCUAUGUUAUUUUUUCAUUUGUAUUAUAAAAAAAAUUAGUAUCAUUCUGAUUUUUUUUCCAAUCACACAUUAACUGUCAGUCUUUAGCACUUUUUUUUAUCUAAAAUUCAAGUGACAAUAUCCACUAUUUUUUUUCUUUAGGUCCAGCUGGGCGCAAGUGCCUCUGUGUGUGUGCCAACAUCCUACUUUCGUCUCAUAAAAUUAGUUUAUUUGUUGUGUCACAACAAGAUUUUUUUUUGCUAGAUACAAACCACUGGUAGAACAGAGAAUGCUACUGCUACAAAGCAUGGUAAGGAAGGUGGCCGAGUAGAGGAAUCGGUGGAUGGUUGUGGCCUCGGCGUGUUUAAAACCAUUCAUUUCAUGGAUUUCCCAGUUUUACGCUGAAAAUUCAAGUCUAAUUUAGCUACGUACUGGAGGGAUUUCGGUACACGUAUCCUAAUUUGUAACGGCCGACGGCUCACACAGAGCGAGCAGACGGGACCCCUGUGGAGGCAUGGUAUAGCCAAUUCGUCUCAUGGCGGCAUGAGCGACCAGUUCUUCCUGUGGCAGCACAGCGCGACAAGCUCCAUGCGGUCGCCCGCGCGCGGAGAUCUCUUCCGAGUCGCCACCACUGGAUCAUCCGAGACAGCGGAGCGAUAUCUUCCUCAUCGGCAGUGCCACCGCGGGCUCCUCCGAGGCAGCGAGUCGACCUCUUCAUCAUGACUAAUUAUGGCGACAAAUUCAUCAACGCCAUCCACGCACGGCCGUCGUCAUCCACCGGGCUGUGCUUCUGACUGACACGAUUGUCCAGUUCGUCUCUCAAGAUGCAACAGUGUGGGAACUAAUUAAUUAUAUUUUAUUCUUGCCCGGGAGCGCUCCUUCGCUGAAGAAAAGUGUGUGGUUGCAUCAGUUGCAAGCCCUAAAGUCAAAGUUUUCCCAAGGCCUCUUAUUCCCAAAAAAAUGUGUGCACGUGACCAUGCACACUGUGCAUGGACACGAUCAAAGUGCUUCGAUUUUUGUGUGCAUGGACAAGAUCGAAGUGCUUCGUUUUUCUCCAUAUCUUAUAAUGCAUAGCUGAUUAUGACCAGCUUAUGUUGUGGCCA